GGGGUUGUAGCUCAGUUGGCUAGAGCACCUGCUUUGCAAGCAGGGGGUCGUGGGUUCGAUUCCCAUCAACUCCA
rnacentral:tRNA from 2 species